rnacentral:rRNA from 1 species
UGGGGAAUCUUAGACAAUGGGGGAAACCCUGAUCUAGCCAUGCCGCGUGAGCGAUGAAGGCCUUAGGGUUGUAAAGCUCUUUCAGCUGGGAAGAUAAUGACGGUACCAGCAGAAGAAGCCCCGGCUAACUCCGUGCCAGCAGCCGCGGUAAUACGGAGGGGGCUAGCGUUGUUCGGAAUUACUGGGCGUAAAGCGCACGUAGGCGGACUGGUAAGUUGGGGGUGAAAUCCCGGGGCUCAACCCCGGAACUGCCUCCAAAACUCCCAGUCUUGAGGUCGAGAGAGGUGAGUGGAAUUCCGAGUGUAGAGGUGAAAUUCGUAGAUAUUCGGAGGAACACCAGUGGCGAAGGCGGCUCACUGGCUCGAUACUGACGCUGAGGUGCGAAAGCGUGGGGAGCAAACA